AGGCCCUUCGGGGUACACGAGCGGCGGACGGCUGAGUAACCCUUUAUGAACGUACCCCAAAGUGAGGGAUAAGCACCAGAAAUGGUGUCUAAUACCGCAUGUGCUCUAAGGAGUAAAGCUCCGGCGCUUUGGGAACGGCCUGCGCAUGAUUAGCUAGAUGGUGAGGUAAUGGCUCACCAUGGCGACGAUCAUUAGCUGGUCUGAGAGGAUGAUCAGCCAGACUGGGACUGAGACACGGCCCAGACUCCUACGGGAGGCAGCAGUAGGGAAUUUUCCACAAUGGGCGAAAGCCUGAUGGAGCAACGCCGCGUGCAGGAUGAAUGCCUUCGGGUUGUAAACUGCUUUUAUAUGUGACGAAUAUGACGGUAGCAUAUGAAUAAGGAUCGGCUAACUCCGUGCCAGCAGCCGCGGUCAUACGGAGGAUCCAAGCGUUAUCCGGAAUUACUGGGCGUAAAGAGUUGCGUAGGCGGCAUAGUAAGCAGAUAGUGAAAGCGUGUGGCUCAACCAUACUCACAUUAUCUGAACUGCUACGCUAGAGGACGAGAGAGGUCACUGGAAUUCCUAGUGUAGGAGUGAAAUCCGUAGAUAUUAGGAGGAACACCAAUGGCGUAGGCAGGUGACUGGCUCGUUCCUGACGCUCAGGCACGAAAGCGUGGG
rnacentral:rRNA from 1 species